rnacentral:rRNA from 1 species
UACGUAGGGUGCAAGCGUUAAUCGGAAUUACUGGGCGUAAAGCGUGCGCAGGCGGUUCUGUAAGACAGGUGUGAAAUCCCCGGGCUUAACCUGGGAACUGCAUUUGUGACUGCAUAGCUAGAGUACGGUAGAGGGGGAUGGAAUUCCGCGUGUAGCAGUGAAAUGCGUAGAUAUGCGGAGGAACACCGAUGGCGAAGGCGGCUCUCUGGACCGAUACUGACGCUGAGGCGCGAAAGCGUGGGGAGCAAACAGG